rnacentral:snRNA from 1 species
AUCUUUGUGCUUGGGGCAAUGAUGCAGCUGGUAAGAUUCUAGCCGAGGCGCGUCUAUUGCUGGUGGAAAAUCUUUUAUAUAAAAGUGCACUUAAUAUGUGAGUUUUACAUUUUAUCAUUUUAA